rnacentral:rRNA from 1 species
GAUGAACGCUGGCGGCGUGCCUAAUACAUGCAAGUCGAGCGAACGGACGAGAAGCUUGCUUCUCUGAUGUUAGCAGCGGACGGGUGAGUAACACGUGGAUAACCUACCUAUAAGACUGGGAUAACUUCGGGAAACCGGAGCUAAUACCGGAUAAUAUUUUGAACCGCAUGGUUCAAAAGUGAAAGACGGUCUUGCUGUCACUUAUAGAUGGAUCCGCGCUGCAUUAGCUAGUUGGUAAGGUAACGGCUUACCAAGGCAACGAUGCAUAGCCGACCUGAGAGGGUGAUCGGCCACACUGGAACUGAGACACGGUCCAGACUCCUACGGGAGGCAGCAGUAGGGAAUCUUCCGCAAUGGGCGAAAGCCUGAAGGAGCAACGCCGCGUGAGUGAUGAAGGUCUUCGGAUCGUAAAACUCUGUUAUUAGGGAAGAACAUAUGUGUAAGUAACUGUGCACAUCUUGACGGUACCUAAUCAGAAAGCCACGGCUAACUACGUG